GUUGGCUUGGAAGCAGCCAUUCAUUUAAAGAGUGCGUAACAGCUCACUAGUCGAGCGGUUCUGCAUGGAUAAUACACGGGCAUAAGCAUACAGCCGAAGCUAUGGACUCAUCGAAAGGUGAGUGGUAGGAGAGCAUUCCAUUUAGCGUUGAAGCAGUAUCGUGAGGUAUUGUGGAGCAGAUGGAAAAGCAAAUGUAGGCAUAAGUAACGAUAAUGCGGGUGAGAACCCCGCACGCCGAAAGGUCAAGGAUUCCCCGGCAAUGUCAAUCAACCGGGGGUAAGUCGGGUCCUAAGUCGAAGCCGAAGGGCGUAGACGAUGGCCAACAGGUUAAUAUUCCUGUACUCAUAUAUGCUGCGAUGCAGGGACGUAGUAGUGACACCGCUGCGUACAGACGAAAUAGUACGUUGAAGCCUUUAUCUGUCGAUGCUGAUAGUUAAGUACGUCAGCAGAGGAGAUGGGUGAUAGUACCGCAAGGCUUCGGCUGCGCGGAUAAUGCGGGUAAUCAGACUACCAAGAAAAUCUGCUAAGCUUCAGGCAUAUAUGACCCGUACUGUAAACGGACACACGUGACCGGGUAGAGAAUACUAAGGCGCUCGAGAUAUUCAUGGCUAAGGAACUAGGCAAAAUGGUCCUGUAACUUCGGGAUAAAGGACGCUGGGGUAAAAUCCAGCCGCAGUAAAAUGGCCCAGGCGACUGUUUACCAAAAACACAUGGCUAUGCUAAAUCGUAAGAUGAUGUAUAUGGCCUGACACCUGCCCGGUGCUGGAAGGUUAAGAGGAGGGUUUAGUAGCAAUACGACGAUCUGAAUUGAAGCCCCAGUAAACGGCGGCCGUAACUAUAACGGUCCUAAGGUAGCGAAAUUCCUUGUCGGGUAAGUUCCGACCUGCACGAAUGGUGUAACGAUCUGGGUACUGUCUCAGCCAUGUUCUCGGUGAAAUUGUAGUUCCGGUGAAGAUGCCGGAUACCCGCAACGGGACGGAAAGACCCCGUGAACCUUUACUGCAGCUUUGCAUUGAUUUUGGGUAAGUGAUGUGUAGGAUAGGUCGGAGGCAUUGAAAUGGCAUCGUCAGGUGUCAUGGAGCCGCUGUUGAAAUACGACCCUUUACUUAUCUGAGGUCUAAUCUCCUUAGUGGAGAGACAUUGCAUGGUGGGUAGUUUGACUGGGGUGGUCGCCUCCAAAAGCGUAACGGAGGCUUCUCAAGGUACCCUCAUGGCGUUUGGUAAUCGCCAGUAGAGUGCAAUGGCAUAAGGGUGCUUGACUGUGAGACCUACAAGUCGAUCAGGUUGGAAACAAGAGCAUAGUGAUCCGGUGGUUUCCGUAUGGAAGGGCCAUCGCUCAAAGGAUAAAAGGUACUCCGGGGAUAACAGGCUGAUCGCUCCCAAGAGCUCAUAUCGACGGAGCGGUUUGGCACCUCGAUGUCGGCUCGUCACAUCCUGGGGCUGGAGAAGGUCCCAAGGGUUCGGCUGUUCGCCGAUUAAAGUGGCACGCGAGCUGGGUUCAGAACGUCGUGAGACAGUUCGGUCCCUAUCUGUUGUGGGCGCAGGAUAUUUGCGGAGAUCUGACACUAGUACGAGAGGACCGUGUUGGACGCACCUCUGGUGCAUCAGUUGUGAUGUCAAUUGCAUUGCUGAGUAACUACGUGCGGAAAGGAUAAGCGCUGAAAGCAUCUAAGCGCGAAGCCAACUUCAAGAUGAGAUAUUCUUUUAAGGGUCGUUUAAGACGAAGACGUUGAUAGGUUGCAGGUGUAUAGUCGGUGACGGCACAGCUGAGCAAUACUAAUCACCCGAUAGCUUCAUUAU
rnacentral:rRNA from 1 species